rnacentral:ncRNA from 1 species
AUAAAAACUGUGAUGAGAAGUAGUAGGUAGAAGAGAUUUACAAGAGAAUCUGCGGUCGGUGUAAGCAGAUAAUCAAAUCUAUUGAAUCCGUCUUUGAGUUUUAAAAAAUAAGUGAACCGUAUGGUUAAUUAGGGUGGCAACGCGGGUCUUCUCGUCCCUUUA